GACGAACGCUGGCGGCGUGCUUAACACAUGCAAGUCGAACGGAAAGGCCUGCUUUCCCUUGUGGAUUGCGGGUACUCGAGUGGCGAACGGGUGAGUAACGCGUGAGUGAUCUGCCCCCAACUUGGGUAUAAGCCUGGGAAACUGGGUCUAAUUCCCGAUAGGACUGCAGGGUGGUGCCUGUGGUGGAAAACGAUUUUCUAGUGGUUGGGGAUGAGCUCGCGGCCUAUCAGCUUGUUGGUGGGGUAAUGGCCUACCAAGGCGGCGACGGGUAGCCGGCCUGGGAGGGUUGACGGCACCAUUGGGACUGAGAUACGGGCCAGGCUCCAUCGGGGGGGAGGCGUGGGGAAUAUUGGACCAUUGGCGGGAGCCUGAAGCCGCGACGGCGCGUGGGGGAUGACGGCCUUCGGGUUGUAAACUCCUUUCGACCGCGAGGAAGCCACCUGGUUGGAAGGGUGGUGACGGUAGUGGUAGAAGAAGCACCGGCUAACUACGUG
rnacentral:rRNA from 1 species